rnacentral:tRNA from 1 species
AAUGAAGUGCCUGAUAAAAAGGAUUAUUUUGAUAGAGUAAAACAUGUAAUAAAUUACCUUCAUUA